GAUGAACGCUGGCGGCGUGCCUAAUACAUGCAAGUCGAGCGAACGGACGAGAAGCUUGCUUCUCUGAUGUUAGCGGCGGACGGGUGAGUAACACGUGGAUAACCUACCUAUAAGACUGGGAUAACUUCGGGAAACCGGAGCUAAUACCGGAUAAUAUUUUGAACCGCAUGGUUCAAAAGUGAAAGACGGUCUUGCUGUCACUUAUAGAUGGAUCCGCGCUGCAUUAGCUAGUUGGUAAGGUAACGGCUUACCAAGGCAACGAUGCAUAGCCGACCUGAGAGGGUGAUCGGCCACACUGGAACUGAGACACGGUCCAGACUCCUACGGGAGGCAGCAGUAGGGAAUCUUCCGCAAUGGGCGAAAGCCUGACGGAGCAACGCCGCGUGAGUGAUGAAGGCCUUUGGAUCGUAAAACUCUGUUAUUAGGGAAGAACAUAUGUGUAAGUAACUGUGCACAUCUUGACGGUACCUAAUCAGAAAGCCACGGCUAACUACGUG
rnacentral:rRNA from 1 species